rnacentral:rRNA from 1 species
CCUACGGGUGGCAGCAGUGAGGAAUAUUGGUCAAUGGACGGAAGUCUGAACCAGCCAUGCCGCGUGCAGGAAGACGGCUCUAUGAGUUGUAAACUGCUUUUGUACAAGGGUAAACCUGAAUACGUGUAUUCAGCUGAAAGUACUGUACGAAUAAGGAUCGGCUAACUCCGUGCCAGCAGCCGCGGUAAUACGGAGGAUCCAAGCGUUAUCCGGAUUUAUUGGGUUUAAAGGGUGCGUAGGCGGAUUGAUAAGUUAGAGGUGAAAUGUCCGAGCUUAACUCGGAAACUGCCUCUAAUACUGUUGGUCUAGAGAGUAGAUGCGGUAGGCGGAAUGUAUGGUGUAGCGGUGAAAUGCUUAGAGAUCAUACAGAACACCGAUUGCGAAGGCAGCUUACCAAUCUAUAUCUGACGUUGAGGCACGAAAGCGUGGGGAGCAAACAGGAUUAGAUACCCGUGUAGUC